rnacentral:rRNA from 1 species
AACGAACGCUGGCGGCAGGCUUAACACAUGCAAGUCGAACGCAUCCUUCGGGGUGAGUGGCAGACGGGUGAGUAACGCGUGGGAACGUGCCCUUCAGUUCGGGAUAAGCCUGGGAAACUGGGUCUAAUACCGGAUAGGACUCCGGACUGCAUGGUCUGGGGUGGAAAGCUUUUGCGGUGUGGGAUGGGCCCGCGGCCUAUCAGCUUGUUGGUGGGGUGAUGGCCUACCAAGGCGACGACGGGUAGCCGGCCUGAGAGGGUGACCGGCCACACUGGGACGGAGAUACGGCCCAGACUCCUACGGGAGGCAGCAGUGGGGAAUAUUGCACAAUGGGCGCAAGCCUGAUGCAGCGACGCCGCGUGAGGGAUGACGGCCUUCGGGUUGUAAACCUCUUUCAGCAUCGACGAAGCGAAAGUGACGGUACCUGCAGAAAAAGCACCGGCUAACUACGUGCCAGCCGCCGCGGUAA